GAUGAAGAACGUAGCGAAAUGCGAUACGUAAUGUGAAUUGCAGAAUUCAGUGAAUCAUCGAGUCUUUGAACGCACAUUGCGCCCCCUGGUAUUCCGGGGGGCAUGCCUGUCCGAGCGUCAUUGCUGCCCUCAAGCACGGCUUGUGUGUUGGGCCCCGUCCUCCGAUCCCGGGGGACGGGCCCGAAAGGCAGCGGCGGCACCGCGUCCGGUCCUCGAGCGUAUGGGGCUUUGUCACCCGCUCUGUAGGCCCGGCCGGCGCCUGCCGAUCAACCCAAAUUUUUUAUCCAGGUUGACCUCGGAUCAGGUAGGGAUACCCGCUGAACUUAAGCAUAUCAAUAAGCGGAGGA
rnacentral:misc_RNA from 1 species